GGGAGCUCUCCCAUAUGGUCGACCUGCAGGCGGCCGCGAAUUCACUAGUGAUUCGUAUUACCGCGGCUGCUUGCACAGAAUUAGCCGGUGCUUAUUCUGUCGGUAACGUCAAAACACCAACGUAUUAAUUUAAUGCCCUUCCUCCCAACUUAAAGUGCUUUACAAUCCGAAGACCUUCUUCACACACGCGGCAUGGCUGGAUCAGGCUUUCGCCCAUUGUCCAAUAUUCCCCACUGCUGCCUCCCGUAGGAGUCUGGACCGUGUCUCAGUUCCAGUGUGACUGAUCAUCCUCUCAGACCAGUUACGGAUCGUCGCCUUGGUGAGCCAUUACCCCACCAACUAGCUAAUCCGACCUAGGCUCAUCUGAUAGCGCAAGGCCCGAAGGUCCCCUGCUUUCUCCCGUAGGACGUAUGCGGUAUUAGCGUCCGUUUCCGAGCGUUAUCCCCCACUACCAGGCAGAUUCCUAGGCAUUACUCACCCGUCCGCCGCUCUCAAAAGGUGCAAGCACCUCUAAUCGAA
rnacentral:rRNA from 1 species